UAAACAAAGACCUCCUAACUUUGUUUAUGAAAUCCUAAAACUUUUCUUUUUCAUAAUAAUCUCCCUAAAAGGCCACCAAAUCCGGUGGUCUUUU
rnacentral:sRNA from 2 species